CCCGAGGCCGCCGCCACCUGCACCGGGCGCCAACAGGCCGCGUUUCCAUAACAACGGAAGGGGCUGUGUCACGUGGGCGAGAGGUGAAACCUCUGUGAGAAACACUGCCUUGCCCUGGGCUUUCUGAGACCCUUGCAACAGAAGAGCUGCUCCACCAUCCUUCUGGAGUCAAAAAACCGAGUGAGAGCUACAAUCUGCCAUUUUCCAGAAGGUUCCUUGAAUCAAACAGGGACUUGUUUUAGGGUCUGCAGCACCACAUACCGCACAAGCCGCAUACCGCACAAAAACACAUGCAGGCGUUUUCUGCAGGGGGUCCCCAGGGAAACACGUUCCUGCUCACGGGGACACACAGAAAGAGCAGUGAUAAAGUCUCCCUCUUUAGGAAAAGGAUUCUGCUUAGCCAUUGUUAGAAAUUGUGUGCAGAGAAAGGGGUUUCCUUUGGCAAUAGGGGAAGCACAGCCUGUACCUUCAGGGGCCCACAACUUCCGCCAUAGUAACUAAGCAUGAUAGACAAGCUUAACAGCAGACCUGUGCCUUAUUUGGUCUUACCCUACAAGUUGAAGAAGAGUCAUGCAAUUCUAGUAAUAUUCCGCUAAAGCUUUGCGCAUGCAAAAUAUCAUGUAACCAGAGAAUAUAAAUACGUGUGUGAGAGUGCAGCCGGGGCCCCUCUGUCUUUCUAAGGUCGGGGGACCUUGGGCCGAAUAAACUGAAAAGACCACA